rnacentral:rRNA from 1 species
AACGGCGAGUGAAGCGGCAAAAGCUCAAAUUUGAAAUCUGGCUCCUUCGGGGUCCGAGUUGUAAUUUGUAGAGGAUGCUUCGGGUGUGGUCACGACCUAAGUUCCUUGGAACAGGACGUCAUAGAGGGUGAGAAUCCCGUCUUGGGCCGUUGGUCCACGCCCGUGUGAAGCUCCUUCGACGAGUCGAGUUGUUUGGGAAUGCAGCUCUAAGCGGGUGGUAAAUUUCAUCUAAAGCUAAAUAUUGGCCGGAGACCGAUAGCGCACAAGUAGAGUGAUCGAAAGGUUAAAAGCACCUUGAAAAGGGAGUUAAACAGCACGUGAAAUUGUUGAAAGGGAAGCGCUUGCGGCCAGACUCGAGCGCAGGGUUCAGCGGGUGCGUGUCACCCGUGCACUCCCUGUCGCUCGGGCCAGCAUCAGUUCUGACGGCCGGUCAAAGGCCCCCGGAAUGUGUCGUCUCUCGGGACGUCUUAUAGCCGGGGGUGCAAUGCGGCCCGUUGGGACUGAGGAACGC